rnacentral:SRP_RNA from 1 species
CAUGCCUAGGCGGGGAACUAGCGGUGCCCUAUACCGGAAAUCCGCUUUAGCCGGGCUGAAUUAUCUUUUUGAGGAUAUGUUUUUAGUAAACCGGAAUAAUUUCCGAAGCGAUGAAGGUUGGGUCUGGUGCACUCUCGUUCCUUUAACCCCGUCAGGUCCGGAAGGAAGCAGCGGUAAGAGGUUUAUCCGGGAGGUGUUACCAGGUUGCCUGACUGGAGCCAAAGGAUUAUUCAGGCCUGGAAAUAUAUUCGACAAAAGAUUGGCAUG